CUGCAGCCAAUUAAGCCGAUGGUCUCCCUCCCCGUGGGGCCUGGUGUGCAGUGGCUCGGAGAGCAGCCUCCUUGGUGGUGUACGUGGCUUGUUGCCUUGUACGGGCUGCCCUAAGGGACCGUGGAGACAGCC
rnacentral:snoRNA from 1 species